AUAAAAAGGGUUAAUUGAGAAAUUAACAAAACAAAAACACAAACACGGUUGUGUUCGUGCGAACCAGGGGAGGAAGAAAGGGGAGCCAAAAACCCUAACUGCUAGAUAUCAAGAAAUUGAAGCCUAAAUCACAAGAAAAUUCGAUGCAUGGGUCCUCUUUUUCGAAAAUCUAACCCUAACUAAUGAAGUGGAACGUGUCAAGGAGAGCUCAAGCAUAGGAGGAUAACGGGUCAAGAUAAGGCAAGGUGACAAAUACACUUAUUGGAAUACUCAAGGUAAGUGAUUUCUAUAAUCACUUCUUUAGUUGUUUAAGUAAUAUAAUGUUUUAAUUAUUAAGUUCAUAUAAAGUUGAGGUUAAAUCAAUGGAUUAUUUUGAUAAAUGCACGAAUGGGUCGAAUAAUUCAUAGAUGAAUAACAAGCCGAAUACGUAUAAGUUAAGAAAUUCCUUAACUCGGAUGUUGGACUUCAAGAUCACGUGAUAGAAUAUUAUAUUACAAUCAUAUAGGAAGAAACGUGACGCAAAACGGACGAAAAAUGAGAGAGUUGUGUCCGUUUCAGUAAGGAUUAAUGGCUAGGAAAAGUGCAGAGUUGACACGGCCGGGUGGUGAACUGACACGGCCGGGUGAAGGUUCUGUCAAAAAUGUUAUUUAUGUGAUUUAUGCGCCGUAGGCUUCGGUAUAUUAUCCGUGAACUACGACGGGCCUCCCAAACAUGAUUUCGAGUGUUUCCUUGACGAUUAUAAGUUGUAAACCCAAGUCUAAGCCUCAUGUAAUUUAUAUAAGAGUGUGAUAGAUGUAUGUAAUGAAGUUGGACAUGUAUUACAUGUAAAUGUAUACAAAAAUACGUACGGAACACGUAGGUAUGAAUACAUGAUUGUAGGUAUGAUUAAAUGUAUAUUAGGUAUGUAGAUGUGUAUGAUUGUAAGUUUGUAUGUGUGCAAGUAUGUGCGAAUGCAUGAUUUGGAUGCAUUUGAGAAUUAGCGUUACUAAUAAUGCCCUUGGGUUUGAAAUAUAAGUUGAUUGGAUGCAUUUAAAUGGUUAACGUCCUUUUUAUGAAGAUGUAGUAAAUGAAUAUGUUGAGAUUACGGGUUUGGCUAACCAAGUUAUUAUUGAGUAUGUUUGAAAGUGCAGGUUAUGAAUGUCGGACUUUCGAAGUGUUGAUAUAAUAAUGAAACGGUUGAAUGUUGAAAGGAUAAUCGGAUUGAAGUAACUUAUGCGGUUAGAAUAUGCUAUGGACGUUUUAGUUUAUACAAUAUUAUAUGUUUGGUCGUCACCAUCUACUAACAGGUAAUUCCUCAAUUUUGGCGACUUGGAGAAUCGGAGCGAGCGCGUGUUCGUGUUAUGCGAUACCAAACGCUUCCGCUAGCUUGUUCAAAUGUUUUUGAUCCAAAAUUUGUUGUAUUGGUAUUUAGUAGUAUCUUGUUGAACGAAUUGUAGAAUUGUAUCUAGUUUGUUUAUGUUUAAAACAGGGGUAUGCUCGUUUUAUGGACGGGUCAUGCCCGAUUUUUUGUUAAAUUAUAGUUUGAUAAUAUCACAUUUAGGAAGGUGAAA